GGCUUGGUUCCGAUGGUGCCGUCAAUGGUGGGUCCAGUGGAACCUCUGGGGCUGGUUCCGGUGGGGUUGUCAAUGGUGGGGCUGGUGGUACCGGUGGGACUGACUCCAGUAGGGUUGUCAAUGAUGGGACCGGUGGUACCGGUGGGGCUGGUUCUGGUAGGGCUGUCAAUGAUGGGACCGGUGGUACCAGGAGGGCUGUCAAUGGUGGGACUGGUGGUACCAGUGGGCCUGGUACCAGUGGGGCUGGUUCCGGUGGGGCUGUCAAUGGUGGGACUGGUGGUACCAGUGGGGCUGGUUCUGGUGGUGCCGUCAAUUACGGGUCCAGUGGGGCUGGUUCCGGUGGUGCCGUCAAUGAUGGGUCCAGUUCCGGUGAUGCCGUCAAUGAUGGGUCCGGUGGUACCAGUAGGGCUGGUUCCAGUUGCAGUGGUACCAGUAGGGUUGGUGCCGGUGGUGCCGUCAAUGAUGGGUGCGGUGGGGCUGGUUCCGGUGGUGCCGUCAAUGAGUCCAGUGAUACCAGCAGUACUGGUUCCGGUUCCGGUGAUACCAGUAGGGCUGGUUCCGGUGGUGCUGUCUAUGAUGGGUCCGGUGGAACCUCUGGGGCCGGUUCCGGUUCCGGUGGUGCCGUCAACGAUGGGUCCGGUGGAACCAGUAGCACUGGUUCCGGUUCCGGUGGUACCAGUAGGGCUGGUCCCGGUGGUGCUCUCAACGAUGGGGCCAGUGGGUCCGGUAGGGUUGUCAACAACGGGACUGGUGCCGGUACCGGUGCCGGUGGUGCUGCCGAUGUUGGGUCCGGUGGUACCGGUGGGGCUGUCAAUGAUGGGUCUGGUGGUUCCGGUGGUGCCGGUUCCGGUGGUGCCGUCAGUGAUGGGUCCGGUGGUACCGGUAGGGCUGGUUCCGGUGGUGCUCUCAGCGAUGGGUCCGGUGGUACUGCUAAUGACGGUACCGGUGCCGGUGCUACCGGUGCUACCAAUAACAGGACCGGUGGUGCCGGUGGUACUGGUGGUACUGGUGGUACCGGUACCGGUGGCACCGUUGCUGAUGGGACUGGUGGUACCGGUGCUGGUGGUACCGUCAAUGAUGGCAGCAGCGGUGCUGGUCACGGCGGUACCGGUGACGCCGACGGUACCGGUAGCGAUGGUACCGGCAAUGGCGGGACCGGAUGUGCCGACGGUACCGGCGUCGGUAGCGGUGGUACCGGUGGAGAUGGACCUGCCGGUAUCGGUGGUACCGGGGGUGACGGUCCUCCUGGUACCUCCCGGUACCGGAUGUACCCUCACCGCCCGGUACCGGUGCUCCUGGUCCUGGUGAUACUGGUACCGGUGUCGGUUGUAGUGGUACCG
rnacentral:lncRNA from 1 species